UGGGGAAUAUUGGACAAUGGGCGCAAGCCUGAUCCAGCAAUGCCGCGUGGGUGAAGAAGGUCUUCGGAUUGUAAAGCCCUUUCGACAGGGACGAUGAUGACGGUACCUGUAGAAGAAGCCCCGGCUAACUUCGUGCCAGCAGCCGCGGUAAUACGAAGGGGGCUAGCGUUGCUCGGAAUUACUGGGCGUAAAGGGCGCGUAGGCGGCUUGCUUAGUCAGACGUGAAAAUCCUGGGCUUAACCUGGGACUGCGUUUGAUACGGGCAGGCUUGAGGAUGGAAGAGGCUCGUGGAAUUCCCAGUGUAGAGGUGAAAUUCGUAGAUAUUGGGAAGAACACCGGUGGCGAAGGCGGCGAGCUGGUCCAUUACUGACGCUGAGGCGCGACAGCGUGGGGAGCAAACAGGAUUAGAUACCCUGGGUAGUCCACGCCGUAAACGAUGUGCGCUGGAUGUUGGGUGGCCUAGCCACUCAGUGUCGUAGCCAACGCGAUAAGCGCACCGCCAUGGGGGGU
rnacentral:rRNA from 1 species